AUGCAAGUCCGAGCGGAGCGAUCCUAGCUUGCUAGGAGGCGUCAAGCGGCGGACGGGUGAGUAAUGCAUAGGAAUCUGCCCGGUAGUGGGGGAUAACCUGAGGAAACUCAGGCUAAUACCGCAUACGUCCUACGGGAGAAAGCAGGGGCUCUUCGGACCUUGCGCUAUCGGAUGAGCUUAUGUCGGAUUAGCUGGUUGGUGAGGUAACGGCUCACCAAGGCGACGAUCCGUAGCUGGUCUGAGAGGAUGAUCAGCCACAUCGGGACUGAGACACGGCCCGAACUCCUACGGGAGGCAGCAGUGGGGAAUAUUGGACAAUGGGGGCAACCCUGAUCCAGCCAUGCCGCGUGUGUGAAGAAGGCCCUCGGGUUGUAAAGCACUUUCAGUGAGGAAGAAGGCUUGUCGGUUAAUACCCGGCAAGAAAGACAUCACUCACAGAAGAAGCACCGGCUAACUCCGUGCCAGCAGCCGCGGUAAUACGGAGGGUGCGAGCGUUAAUCGGAAUUACUGGGCGUAAAGCGUGCGUAGGCGGCUUGAUAAGCCGGUUGUGAAAGCCCCGGGCUCAACCUGGGAACGGCAUCCGGAACUGUCAGGCUAGAGUGCAGGAGAGGAAGGUAGAAUUCCCGGUGUAGCGGUGAAAUGCGUAGAGAUCGGGAGGAAUACCAGUGGCGAAGGCGGCUUCUGGACUGACACUGACGCUGAGGUACGAAAGCGUGGGUAGCAAACAGGAUUAGAUACCCUGGUAGUCACGCCGUAAACGAUGUCGACUAGCCGUUGGGGUCCUCGAGACCUUUGUGGCGCAGUUAACGCACUAAGUCGACCGCCUGGGGAGUACGGCCGCAAGGUUAAAACUCAAAUGAAUUGACGGGGGCCCGCACAAGCGGUGGAGCAUGUGGUUUAAUUCGAUGCAACGCGAAGAACCUUACCUACCCUUGACAUCGUGCGAACUUGGUAGAGAUACCUUGGUGCCUUCGGGAACGCACAGACAGGUGCUGCAUGGCUGUCGUCAGCUCGUGUUGUGAAAUGUUGGGUUAAGUCCCGUAACGAGCGCAACCCUUGUCCCUAUUUGCCAGCGAUUCGGUCGGGAACUCUAGGGAGACUGCCGGUGACAAACCGGAGGAAGGUGGGGACGACGUCAAGUCAUCAUGGCCCUUACGGGUAGGGCUACACACGUGCUACAAUGGCCGGUACAAUGGGUCGCAAAGCGGCGACGUGGAGCUAAUCCCAUAAAGCCGGUCUCAGUCCGGAUCGGAGUCUGCAACUCGACUCCGUGAAGUCGGAAUCGCUAGUAAUCGUGCAUCAGAAUGGCACGGUGAAUACGUUCCCGGGCCUUGUACACACCGCCCGUCACACCAUGGGAGUGGACUGCACCAGAAGUGGUUAGCCUAAC
rnacentral:rRNA from 1 species